rnacentral:rRNA from 1 species
AAGAAAUUUAAUAAUUUUGAAAAUGGAUUUUUUUGUUUUGGCAAGAGCAUGAGAGCUUUUACUGGGCAAGAAGACAAGAGAUGGAGAGUCCAGCCGGGCCUGCGCUUAAGUGCGCGGUCUUGCUAGGCUUGUAAGUUUCUUUCUUGCUAUUCCAAACGGUGAGAGAUUUCUGUGCUUUUGUUAUAGGACAAUUAAAACCGUUUCAAUACAACACACUGUGGAGUUUUCAUAUCUUUGCAACUUUUUCUUUGGGCAUUCGAGCAAUCGGGGCCCAGAGGUAACAAACACAAACAAUUUUAUUUAUUCAUUAAAUUUUUGUCAAAAACAAGAAUUUUCGUAACUGGAAAUUUUAAAAUAUUAAAAACUUUCAACAACGGAUCUCUUGGUUCUCGCAUCGAUGAAGAACGCAGCGAAAUGCGAUACGUAAUGUGAAUUGCAGAAUUCCGUGAAUCAUCGAAUCUUUGAACGCACAUUGCGCCCCUUGGUAUUCCAGGGGGCAUGCCUGUUUGAGCGUCAUUUCCUUCUCAAACAUUCUGUUUGGUAGUGAGUGAUACUCUUUGGAGUUAACUUGAAAUUGCUGGCCUUUUCAUUGGAUGUUUUUUUUUCCAAAGAGAGGUUUCUCUGCGUGCUUGAGGUAUAAUGCAAGUACGGUCGUUUUAGGUUUUACCAACUGCGGCUAAUCUUUUUUAUACUGAGCGUAUUGGAACGUUAUCGAUAAGAAGAGAGCGUCUAGGCGAACAAUGUUCUUAAAGU